UAGGGAACCUUCGGCAAUGGACGAAAGUCUGACCGAGCAACGCCGCGUGAGUGAAGAAGGUUUUCGGAUCGUAAAACUCUGUUGUUAGAGAAGAACAAGGACGUUAGUAACUGAACGUCCCCUGACGGUAUCUAACCAGAAAGCCACGGCUAACUACGUGCCAGCAGCCGCGGUAAUACGUAGGUGGCAAGCGUUGUCCGGAUUUAUUGGGCGUAAAGCGAGCGCAGGCGGUUUCUUAAGUCUGAUGUGAAAGCCCCCGGCUCAACCGGGGAGGGUCAUUGGAAACUGGGAGACUUGAGUGCAGAAGAGGAGAGUGGAAUUCCAUGUGUAGCGGUGAAAUGCGUAGAUAUAUGGAGGAACACCAGUGGCGAAGGCGGCUCUCUGGUCUGUAACUGACGCUGAGGCUCGAAAGCGUGGGGAGCAAACAGG
rnacentral:rRNA from 1 species